rnacentral:piRNA from 1 species
UACCUCUCUGAUGUUUUCAUU